CAGUCGCCACGGUAAUACGUAGGGGGCAAGCGUUAUCCGGAUUUACUGGGUGUAAAGGGAGCGUAGACGGAAUGGCAAGUCUGAAGUGAAAUGCCCGGGCUCAACCCGGGAACUGCUUUGGAAACUGUCGAUCUGGAGUGUUGGAGAGGUAAGUGGAAUUCCUGGUGUAGCGGUGAAAUGCGUAGAGAUCAGGAAGAACACCGGAGGCGAAGGCGGCUUACUGGACAAAGACUGACGUUGAGGCUCGAAAGCGUGGGAAGCAAACAGGAUUAGAUACCCGCGUAGUCCCUGUCUCUUAUAC
rnacentral:rRNA from 1 species